rnacentral:misc_RNA from 1 species
AACGCAUCUUGCACCCUUGGGUAUUCCCUUGGGUAUGUCUGUCUGAGUGUCAUUUGAACUCUCAAAGCCCCCUUCCUUUGAUAGGGUUGGAGCGCUUUGGAUCGUGGGCGCUUGUGAGCCUGGCUCGCUCGUCUGAAAUCAAAUGUGGUGGUUUUCUCUAAAGCCUGUGUCGGGUUUGACCUGGAGUGAUAGAAGUCUUUCGAGAUCUCUGGGGACUGCCUUUUUGGCGACCUGCCGAGGUGGGAGAGAUUGCCUACUAAGGCUCAUCUGACGUUUUUGACCUCAGAUCAGGCAGGACUACCCGCUGAACUUAA